UGUGCCUACGGGAGGCAGCAGUGGGGAAUAUUGGGCAAUGGACGCAAGUCUGACCCAGCAACGCCGCGUGAAGGAAGAAGGCUCUCGGGUUGUAAACAUCUUUUAAGGGGGAAGAGUAGAAGACGGUACCCCUUGAAUAAGCCACGGCUAACUACGUGCCAGCAGCCGCGGUAAUACGUAGGUGGCAAGCGUUGUCCGGAUUUACUGGGUGUAAAGGGCGUGCAGCCGGAGAGACAAGUCAGAUGUGAAAUCCACGGGCUCAACCCGGGAACUGCAUUUGAAACUGUUUCCCUUGAGUGACGGAG
rnacentral:rRNA from 1 species